UAUAACGUAGAUUUUGUUAUUGUACACAGUCAAGAGGAAAAGGAUAUGAUCAAUGGUUACAGCUGGGGUAACCAAGAAGAGAGUGGAUACUGGAUUGGCCUGAGAGUUGAAAAUGGGAGAUGGAAGUGGAUUGAUGGAAGUGAUCUGGCUGUAGACUUCUGGAUAGGACCUCCCUUUGACGGUCAGUGUGCAGUUUCUGUCCAGGACGUAGGAUGGAGCUCAGUGAGCUGUGCUGACAGAAAACGAUGGAUCUGCAAAAAGAAGGCUUUGUGUGUUUAAAC